rnacentral:misc_RNA from 1 species
ACACCUCAACUCUCAUGGCUUGCCAUGAUGAGCUUGGACUUUGGGGGUCUUGCUGGCCUGUGAGUCAGCUCCUCUCAAAUGAAUUAGCUUGCCAGCGUUUGGUGGCAUCACAGGUGUGAUAACUGUCUACGCUUGUGGUUUUCCACCAGGUAACCUUCAGCAAUGGAGGUUCGCUGGAGCUCAUAAAUGUCUCUCCUCGGUGAGGACAGAUUUUUGACC